rnacentral:rRNA from 1 species
UACGAAGGGUGCAAGCGUUGCUCGGAAUUAUUGGGCGUAAAGGGUAGGUAGGUGGUUACGUAUGUCUGAGGUGAAAUCCCUAAGCUUAACUUAGGACGUGCCUUGGAAACGGCGUAACUAGAGUGCUGGAGAGGUUCGUAGAAUUCCCGGUGUAGCGGUGAAAUGCGUAGAGAUCGGGAGGAAUACCAGUGGCGAAGGCGAGUCCCUGGACAGGUCCUGACGCUGAGGCACGAAAGCUAGGGGAGCAAACAGG